rnacentral:rRNA from 1 species
CCCUUAGACGUUCUGGGCCGCACGCGCGCUACACUGACCAGUGCAACAAGCAUCCGUCCUUGGCCGACAGGCCCGGGCAAUCUUUGAACGCUGGUCGUGAUGGGGAUAGGCUUUUGCAAUUUUUGGUCUUCAACGAGGAAUUCCUAGUAAACGCAAGUCAUCAACUCGCAUUGAUUACGUCCCUGCCCUUUGUACACACCGCCCGUCGCACCUACCGAUUGAAUGGUCCGGUGAAAUCUCGGGACGGCGGCUUGGUCGCUUGCGUCCGACUGCUGAAACUUGAUUAAACCAUAUCAUUUAGAGGAAGGUGAAGUCGUAACA